rnacentral:rRNA from 1 species
AUUGCGAAGGCAGCUUGCUGGACUGUAACUGACGNUGAGGCACGAAAGCGUGGGGAUCAAACAGGAUUAGAUACCCUGGUAGNCCACGCCGUAAACGAUGAAUGCUAGCUGUUAGCGAUAUACUGUUAGCGGCACAGAGAAAUCGUUAAGCAUUCCACCUGGGGAGUACGCCGGCAACGGUGAAACUCAAAGGAAUUGACGGGGGCCCGCACAAGCGGAGGAACAUGUGGUUUAAUUCGAUGAUACGCGAGGAACCUUACCUGGGCUUAAAUUGCAGUGGAAUAACGUGGAAACAUGUUAGCCUUCGGGCCGCUGUGAAGGUGCUGCAUGGUUGUCGUCAGCUCGUGCCGUGAGGUGUCGGCUUAAGUGCCAUAACGAGCGCAACCCUCAUCGAUAGUUACUAACAGGUUAAGCUGAGGACUCUAUCGAGACUGCCGACGUAAGUCGUGAGGAAGGUGGGGAUGACGUCAAAUCAGCACGGCCCUUACGUCCAGGGCUACACACGUGUUACAAUGGGGGGUACAAAGGGCAGCUACCUGGCGACAGGAUGCUAAUCUCAAAAACCUCUCUCAGUUCGGAUUGGAGUCUGCAACCCGACUCCAUGAAGCUGGAUUCGCUAGUAAUCGCGCAUCAGCCACGGCGCGGUGAAUACGUUCCCGGGCCUUGUACACACCGCCCGUCAAGCCAUGGGAGCCGGGGGGACCUGAAGUAUGCAACCGUAAGGAGCGUCCUAGGGUAAAACUGGUGACUGGGGCU